rnacentral:rRNA from 1 species
GACGAACCGUGCGAACGUUAUUCGGAAUCACUGGGCUUAAAGCGCGUGUAGGCGGGCCGCCGCGUCGGCUGCUGAAAUCCCCCGGCUCAACCGGGGAACGGGCACCGAUACGGGCGGCCUCGAGGGGGGUAGGGGGGUCUGGAACGUUCCGGUGGAGCGGUGAAAUGCGUUGAGAUCGGAAGGAACGCCCGUGGCGAAAGCGAGGCCCUGGACCCUUUCUGACGCUGAGACGCGAAAGCCAGGGGAGCGGAACGGG